CAAUGUUAUGUACGGGCUCAAAGCUUGUCGGGAAUCAUUCGAGUAUACAUAUAAAUUUUUGCGAAUCACAGAUUAAAUUCUUAGAAAUAUUAUAUUUUAUCCAAUAAUUCAUCGUAAAGAUUUUCUCUUCUAUGGGAGUUCGGAAAUUCAGACGACCGUCAACAAGACUUGGCGCGAGUUCAUCUGUGG